UACGGGGGGGGCAAGCGUUGUUCGGAAUUACUGGGCGUAAAGGGCUCGUAGGCGGCCAACUAAGUCAGACGUGAAAUCCCUCGGCUUAACCGGGGAACUGCGUCUGAUACUGGAUGGCUUGAGUUUGGGAGAGGGAUGCGGAAUUCCGGGUGUAGCGGUGGAAUGCGUAGAGAUCCGGAGGAAGACCGGUGGCGAAGGCGGUCUGCUGGGCAGUUUCUGACACUGAGGCGCGACAGCGUGGGGAGCAAACAGG
rnacentral:rRNA from 1 species